rnacentral:rRNA from 1 species
AACGAACGCUGGCGGCAGGCUUAACACAUGCAAGUCGAGCGGGCGCUUUCGGGCGUCAGCGGCGGACGGGUUAGUAACGCGUGGGAACGUGCCCUUUGCUCUGGAAUAGCCCUGGGAAACCGGGGGUAAUACCGGAUGUGCCCUGAGGGGGAAAGGUUUUACCGGCAAGGGAUCGGCCCGCGUCGGAUUAGUUAGUGGGUGUGGUAACGGCGCACCAAGCCGACGAUCGGUGGCUGGUUUGAGAGGAUGAUAAGCAACACUGGGACUGAGACAGGGCCAGACCUCUUACGGGAGGCAGCAGGGGGAAAUUUUAGACAAUGGGCGAAAGCCUGUUCUAGCCAUCCCGCGGGGGUGAUGAAGGCCUUAGGGUCUUAAAGCCCUUUCGCCGGGGAAAAUAAUGCCGGUACCCGGUAAAGAAACCCCGGCUAACUCCGUGCCAGCAGCCGCAGUAA